rnacentral:misc_RNA from 1 species
CAAGAAGCCGAAAGGCUACUUAAAACCAUCGCGAACUUAUCCAAGUUGCUUCGGCGGCGCGGCUCCCCUCACGGGGGACCGCAGCCCCCGCCUCUCAAGGAGGUAAGGGGCAGCCGCCGGAGGUACGAAACUCUGUAUUAUAGUGGUAUCUCUGAGUAUAAAACAAAUAAGUUA